UUGGGUUUUUUUUGGGCAGGGUUGAGAGCAGGCAAAGUGGUGGGGACUGCAGAGGAGUCUGUUAUGAAAUCAGAUGCGAUUUUAGAUGUCUGAAAGAGUUUCUUUAGGCUAAAGGCAGCUGAAAAAUCAAUUGCACUGUUGGCAAAUGUGCUUCCAGCUGCCUGAUGCCUCUCCUGAGGGACACUUUCAACCCAGGGCCCAUUGCAAUUGUAGUGCAGGAAAGGGCUUUCAUUUGCUUUGGGCUAAGGACCUUCUGCUGCCCAGUUCCACCAGUGAGAAGAGAAACUGGAGAUGAUGUGGGAGAGUGACAACAGCAUUAUUACUGCUGAUAUGAAGAAAAGAUGGAAACAGCCUCCUGAAGGUCGAGGUGAGACUGACCAACACCUGAGUGCUGGUGUUCACCAGCAGUAAUAAAUCCCUGCUCACAGGUGCUGGAAGUCUCUUCAGAGAAACAACAUUACUGCAGGGAACAAACAACUAGUCCUGACCUUCCUUACACAGCCAUUCUCUGGGAAAAAGUAUCCCCUGAAGUCAAUGUGCAUUCUGCCUAGCUUUCAUCAGAAGAAAAACACCUGGAUUGAAAGGACAACAACAAAUAAUAGGUGCUGGUGAUUUGCACUCUCUCCACCUGAAUCAGAUAUCUGGUACAUCAAUGCUUAGAAGGCUUAGGAGAAGAAGAAAACAUCAAUAUUUCACUGAACACAAAAAGUUGCACAACUCCCCAGACUUCAUUUUAAUGUCAGCUGUGCUUAGUUCGAUGUUUUUCUUCUUCUUUUUUUUUUUUUUUUUUUUUCUGUAAGAUGAGUGAUUUCCACUUCCUUUUGAAUCCCACCUGUGCAAGUAGCUUGUUUUUCUCCCUGUCAAGUGUUAACAAGGGUUUUGCUCAGGCUCAGCAGCCAGGCAGUCCUGGGGUGGCUGACUCCUAGGGAAGCCCCAGCAGGAGCAAACGAGAGCCA